AUUGUGUUCACAGCGUCUGUGGUGGUGAUCAGAGCUGCUUCGUUAAAGGGUCACUCCUGAAGCGCUCAUGCUUGACUUUCCCUUCUGUCUCCAUCACUCUCACUCUCUCCUGUUUAUCUCAACAGUGCUAAGAGAAAUGACAUCCAAGAGGGACACAGACAAACAUUUGUCCAGAUGAGCUGCGGUAACAGGAUUGUGUUUAGACAGGAGCUUCUCUCCGCAGGGAACAAGCUUUAGGAACAAGCUGAAGAAAUUGAGAAAUACAUGCCGGCGGUUAUUCUGAAAAUGUCUGUUUCCCACUGGAAUGAAGCUUUUACAGCCCCCUCGGUUGGAGAGAGAGAGGGAUGGAAUGAGACAGAGAGCGAGUGAAACAGUGAAUCAUGAGUGCAGCUUUGAACAACAAGAGGAAAUCCUCCUAUUGAGAAGGCAUGCGCUGUGGAAACAUGCAUCACUCAUAGAGAUUUCACAGAGCUUUUCUCAAGGCUUCCAUCUUCAGGCUUGUUGGUUAGUCACAGACCACACAUGCUGGAGAAUGCUGGAAUUACACCAAAACAAGGGCAGAGCGUCUUGUGUAAGCAGUUUUUCCUUGAGUGAACUCCUGCAGAAUAAAUAGUCAUACAGCAUGAGGG